rnacentral:rRNA from 1 species
GACGAACGCUGGCGGCGUGCUUAACACAUGCAAGUCGAACGGUAAGGCCCUUCGGGGUACACGAGUGACGAACGGGUGAGUAACACGGGGGUGAUCUGCCCUGCACUUCGGGCUAAGCCUGGGAAACUGGGUCUAAUACCGGAUAGGACUCCUGGCUUCAUGGUGGGGGGUGGAAAGCUUUUGCGGUGUGGGGUGGGCCCGCGGCCUAUCAGCUUGUUGGUGGGGUAAUGGCCUACCAAGGCGACGACGGGUAGCCGGCCUGAGAGGGUGACCGGUCACACUGGGACUGAGAUACGGCCCAGACUCCUACGGGAGGCAGCAGUGGGGAAUAUUGCACAAUGGGCGCAAGCCUGAUGCAGCGACGCCGCGUGAGGGAUGACGGCCUUCGGGUUGUAAACCUCUUUCAGCUAUGACGAAGCGCAAGUGACGGUAGUAGCAGAAGAAGGACCGGCCAACUACGUGCCAGCCGCCGCCGUAC